rnacentral:lncRNA from 1 species
UUUUAAAUGAUAUAGUCCAAUAAUAUUAUGGGUUGUUGUUGUUUUAAUUGCAUCAUGUUUUAAAUCGAACUUUUAUCUUUGGCUUUGACAUCAAAUAUAUGCUAUUAUGCUUCCAAUUUACCCUUUCAACACAUUAACAUAACGCUUUAGAUAUCGAUUUGUUUGUGUCGCUUUUGUUCGAACUUGUUUUUAUUUGGACUUU